GACAGAGGGUGCAAACGUUGUUCGGAAUUACUGGGCGUAAAGCGCGUGUAGGCGGCCCUGCAAGUCGGAUGUGAAAUCCCACGGCUCAACCGUGGAAGUGCAUUCGAAACUGCAGGGCUAGAGUCCUGGAGAGGAAGGUGGAAUGCUUGGUGUAGAGGUGAAAUUCGUAGAUAUCAAGCGGAACACCGGUGGCGAAGGCGGCCUUCUGGACAGUGACUGACGCUGAGACGCGAAAGCGUGGGGAGCAAACCGG
rnacentral:rRNA from 1 species